rnacentral:rRNA from 1 species
AUUGAACGCUGGCGGCAGGCUUAACACAUGCAAGUCGAGCGGAGAUGAGGUGCUUGCACCUUAUCUUAGCGGCGGACGGGUGAGUAAUGCUUAGGAAUCUGCCUGAUAGUGGGGGACAACGUUUCGAAAGGAACGCUAAUACCGCAUACGUCCUACGGGAGAAAGCAGGGGACCUUCGGGCCUUGCGCUAUCAGAUGAGCCUAGGUCGGAUUAGCUAGUUGGUGGGGUAAUGGCUCACCAAGGCGACGAUCCGUAACUGGUCUGAGAGGAUGAUCAGUCACACUGGAACUGAGACACGGUCCAGACUCCUACGGGAGGCAGCAGUGGGGAAUAUUGGACAAUGGGCGAAAGCCUGAUCCAGCCAUGCCGCGUGUGUGAAGAAGGUCUCCGGAUUGUAAAGCACUUUAAGUUGGGAGGAAGGGCAGUAAGUUAAUACCUUGCUGUUUUGACGUUACCGACAGAAUAAGCACCGGCUAACUCUGUGCCAGCCGCCGCGGUAAAAC